rnacentral:rRNA from 1 species
AUUGAACGCUGGCGGCAGGCCUAACACAUGCAAGUCGAACGGUAACAGGAAACAGCUUGCUGUUUCGCUGACGAGUGGCGGACGGGUGAGUAAUGUCUGGGAAACUGCCUGAUGGAGGGGGAUAACUACUGGAAACGGCAGCUAAUACCGCAUAACGUCGCAAGACCAAAGAGGGGGACCUUCGGGCCUCUUGCCAUCGGAUGUGCCCAGAUGGGAUUAGCUAGUAGGUGGGGUAACGGCUCACCUAGGCGACGAUCCCUAGCUGGUCUGAGAGGAUGACCAGCCACACUGGAACUGAGACACGGUCCAGACUCCUACGGGAGGCAGCAGUGGGGAAUAUUGCACAAUGGGCGCAAGCCUGAUGCAGCCAUGCCGCGUGUAUGAAGAAGGCCUUCGGGUUGUAAAGUACUUUCAGCGGGGAGGAAGGGAGUAAAGUUAAUACCUUUACUCAUUGACGUUACCCGCAGAAGAAGCACCGGCUAACUCCGUG